GACAGAGGGGGCGAGCGUUGUCCGGAGUCACUGGGCGUAAAGCGCGCGCAGGCGGCAACCUAAGUGUCGUGUGAAAGCCCCCGGCUCAACCGGGGGAGGCCAUGGCAAACUGGGUCGCUCGAGCUGCGGAGAGGCCCCUCGAAUUGCCGGUGUAGCGGUGAAAUGCGUAGAGAUCGGCAGGAAGACCAAGGGGGAAGCAAGGGGGCGGGCCGCAGGCUGACGAUGAGGCGCGACAGCGUGGGGAGCAAACCGG
rnacentral:rRNA from 1 species